GAUGAACGCUGGCGGCGUGCCUAAUACAUGCGAGUCGAGCGAACGGACGAGAAGCUUGCUUCUCUGAUGUUAGCGGCGGACGGGUGAGUAACACGUGGAUAACCUACCUAUAAGACUGGGAUAACUUCGGGAAACCGGAGCUAAUACCGGAUAAUAUUUUGAACCGCAUGGUUCAAAAGUGAAAGACGGUCUUGCUGUCACUUAUAGAUGGAUCCGCGCUGCAUUAGCUAGUUGGUAAGGUAACGGCUUACCAAGGCAACGAUGCAUAGCCGACCUGAGAGGGUGAUCGGCCACACUGGAACUGAGACACGGUCCAGACUCCUACGGGAGGCAGCAGUAGGGAAUCUUCCGCAAUGGGCGAAAGCCUGACGGAGCAACGCCGCGUGAGUGAUGAAGGUCUUCAGAUCGUAAAACUCUGUUAUUAGGGAAGAACAUAUGUGUAAGUAACUGUGCACAUCUUGACGGUACCUAAUCAGAAAGCCACGGCUAACUACGUG
rnacentral:rRNA from 1 species